UUUUUAUUCUAUUCUAUUCACAUCAUGUUUCUUUUUAUUUUAUUGUAUUUAUUCUAUUUUAUUCUGUUUUAUAUUAUAUUAUAUUAUAUUAUAUUAUAUUUUAUUAUAUUAUUUUCUAUUUUCUUUUCUAUAUUUUAUAAUCUACAUUUUAUUGACGUUUAUUGCUAGUUUACAUUCAUUAUAUUUUAAUCACAUCAUAUUUCUCGAUAGUUAAUUAUAUAUUUAGGUUCUAUUUCCCAUUUUUUUCAGGUCAUGUUCAUCAACAGUCAGAUGCAGAUGAAUGAUGGGUCAGAUGGUCUGAAGGCCGUACCCAUGCUGGCCAGAAGAGCAGCGAUGGCCUGAACAUCAGCUCCAGCGAAGAUGUCCGACAGAGAGUUGACCACCGGCAGACACAGCGUGUGCACACGGAUCCUCCGCUCUCCUGCAACAGCACAGAAGAGCACAGUCAGCGUCACAUGAUCAGUCGAGCGUCACAUGACACGUCAUGUUCAGUCAGCGUCACGACACGUCACAUGAACAGUCGAGCGUCACGACACGUCACAUGAUCAGUCGAGCGUCACGACACGUCACAUGAUCAGUCGAGCGUCACGACACGUCACAUGAUCAGUCGAGCGUCACGACACGUCACAUGAUCAGUCGAGCGUCACAUGACACGUCACAUGAUCAGUCGAGCGUCACAUGACACGUCAUGUUCAGUCAGCGUCACGACACGUCACAUGAUCAGUCGAGCGUCACAUGACACGUCUGUGUCACAUGAUUAGUCGAGCGUCACAUGAUCAGUCGAGCGUCACAUGAUCAGUCGAGCCGUCACAUGACACGUCACAUGAUCAGUCGAGCGUCACAUGAUCAGUCGAGCGUCACAUGACACGUCACAUGAUCAGUCGAGCAUCACAUGAUCAGUCUGCACGUCACAUGACACAUCACAUGAUCAGUGGAGCGUCACAUGACACGUCACAUGAUCAGUCGAGCGUCACAUGAUCAGUCGAGCGUCGCGCACCUUUGCUGGCGGUGUAGAGCAGCGCGGCCUGGAAGGACACGGUCUGCAGGUCCAGCAGGUUCUCCUCGAUGCUCAUCUGCACGGCGAAGCCGGCGUCGGGGUUCACGUUGGGCAGAGACAGCAGGUCGGUGGAGCGCACGAAGAAGUUCCCGUGGAAGGUGUGUAUGGACAGACCUGCAGACGACAGAAGAACACGUCAGUGUUCAGCAGGGCUGGACUCAGACCGACGCCUCACUCCACACACCUUUAGUGCAGCGGAUCCUCAUCACGGCCUCGAAGCCGAUCUUGCGCGUCAGGUAUCUCUUCAGAUCCUUCUGGAGGCGCUCCGUCUGAGGCGGGUUGUGCUGCUUGUGGUAUGAAGGGUAGAAAUAGACGCUUCCGGCCGAGUAUCUGGAUAUACAGCCUUCAGGAGGAGACGAAGGAUCGAUCGUUAGAGUUUAUACACACACAAACAUCACUGGAUCAAUCAUGUUUUAGAGUCUCAAAUCUGAUCAUCAGGAUCUUUUGAGGAGCGUUUGUUUCCAGAAGCUUUACUUUCACUGUUCCUCAGCGGAGGAAUGAUCUUCACAAGCCUCCAGAACAUCUCACAUCUUCUGAGGAGCCUUUAUUUCUUCAUCUCUCAAUCACUGCAUUAUAUGUUUG
ensembl:lncRNA